CGCCGCGGCCGCUGCCGCCGCGGCCUCAGCGUGCUGUAGCAAAUUCAUGUCUGCUACAGCCGCUGCGGCGGCUGCCGCCUCCGCGGCCGCCAUAAUGGGGUUGAUGCCAGGGUGCGGUGGCGCCGGUGCCCCUGCAAGGCCACCCUACGCCACCACACCAAACCGUCCCGUGGGUCACACGAUAUAAUUAGAUUUAUUAGCGAGGCAGAUACAUCACCACAGCUUCAUGGGGCUCGCUCAAUGGCGAUGAGGUGCCGUGGCCAGAAGGGGUGCAUCGCCAUCACCAUCGCCAUCGCCAUCACCAUCACCAUCACCAUCACCAUCACCAUCAUCAUCACCAUUACCAUUACCAUUACCAUUACCAUUACCAUUACCAUUACCAUCACCAUCACCAUCACCAUCACCAUCACCAUCACCAUUACCAUUACCAUUACCAUUACCAUUACCAUUACCAUUACCAUUACCAUUACCAUUACCAUUACCAUUACCAUUACCAUUACCAUUACCAUUACCAUUACCAUUACCAUUACCAUUACCAUUACCAUCUCUGUCAACAAUGGUUUGGAACGAUCAAAAGUGAUCAAAACAUCUUUGAUCAGUUGCAACACCACCAACACCAUCCGUCUCCAAGAGCACUGCCUCAGAUGGUGCACCGAAACGAUGGCACUAACGAUGGCACUAACGAUGGCACUAACGAUGGCACUAACGAUGGCACGCCUGUGGAGGCGUCCGCAUGAUAAGAUGUUCCCCCAUUCCCGACUACACAUCGCACUCAGAAAUGUAAGCCACAUGCAAGGCACUUAACACGCAUUACCUGUGGCUGUGGCUUAGUUCCUUACAACAAACAAACAAACAUACAUACAUACAUACAUACAUAUAUAGCCCCACCUGAUGAUGAUGAUGUUGAUGUUGCUGCUGAUGGUGGUGGUGGUGGUGAUGAUGAUAAAGGUGUCCGG
rnacentral:lncRNA from 1 species